rnacentral:rRNA from 1 species
GACGAACGCUGGCGGCGUGCCUAAUACAUGCAAGUCGAGCGGAUGGAAGGAAGCUUGCUUCCUAAAGUCAGCGGCGGACGGGUGAGUAACACGUGGGCAACCUGCCCCUAAGAUCGGGAUAACUUCGGGAAACCGGAGCUAAUACCGGAUAUGAUUAUGUCUCACAUGAGACAUAAUGGAAAGACGGUUUCGGCUGUCACUUAGGGAUGGGCCCGCGGCGCAUUAGCUAGUUGGUGAGGUAACUGCCCACCAAGGCGACGAUGCGGAGCCGCCCUGAGGGGGUGAGCGGCCACACUGGGACUGAGCCACGGCCCAGACUCCGACGGGAGGCAGCACUAGGGAAUCUUCCGCACUCGACGAAAGUCUGACAGCGCAACGCCGCGUGAGUGAAGACGGUUUUCUGAUCGUAAAACUCUGUUGUUAGGGAAGAACAAGGACCAUAGUAACUGAUGGUACCUUGACGGUACCUACCCAGAAAGCCACGGCUAACUACGUGCCAGCCGCCGCCGUAAAAC